CACAGAUGUCCUGGGGAAUUUAGAGUGUAAAGCAACACCUUGAACUCUGUCAGGUUUCUUAAACCAUUCCUUAGCAAUUUUUGCAGUAUGUCGGUGUAUUCUGCUGAAAGAGGCUACUGCCAUUGUCCUUCAUUGCACCACUUUUGGUAUGUACUAACCACAGCAUACCAGAAACAACCCACAGAAUUUGCCAGACGGAGAUGCUCUGGUCGUCAUCUAGCCAUCACUGUUUGGCCCUUGUCAAAGUCGCUCAGAUAUUUUGCUUGCCCAUUUUUCCUGUAU